AGGGUUUGAUCAUGGCUCAGGACGAACGCUGGCGGUGCGCCUUAUGCAUGCAAGUCGAGCGAAGCUUUUCAGUAGUUUACUACAGAAAAUGACUGAGCGGCGAACGGGUGAGUAACGCGUGAGCAAUCUACCUUAGUUACAGGGAUAGCCCGAGGAAACUCGGAUUAAUACCUGAUAUUCUUUAUUUCUCGCAUGAGAAUAAAAGGAAAGGUCAGCCGAACUAAGAUGAGCUCGCGUUCUAUCAGCUUGUUGGUGAGGUAAAAGCUUACCAAGGCUACGACGGAUAGCUGGUCUGAGAGGACGAUCGGCCACACUGGGACUGAGACACGGCCCAGACUCCUACGGGAGGCUGCAGCAGGGAAUAUUGUGCAAUGAACGAAAGUUUGACACAGCGACACCGCGUGUGGGAUGACGGAUCUAGGUUUGUAAACCACUUUCAGGAGGGAAGAAAAUGACGGUACCUCCACAAGAAGCCCCGGCCAACUACGUGCCAGCAGCCGCGGUAAUAC
rnacentral:rRNA from 1 species